UAAUGUAUCGGGUUAUGAUUUACCGUUAUUAUACCGGAAUUUGAUUUACCGUUAUAGGGUCGGUUAUUGAUUUACCGUUUUUGUUCCAGGGAUGACAGAGUCCUUUUUCUUUGGUGAAUCACAAUUGAUACAUGCUGCUGGAUUGGAAAAUGAUAAUCCAGAGGAGCAACCAUCACUAGCUGAACCUCCGAUUAUAUCUAUAGAUGUCUCUCAUUUGUAUCAUACUGAUCAGCGUUUCCCUUUGAAAGAUGAUCUUAUGAAAUGGGUUCGCGACAUUUCUAUGGCAAAUAAUUUUGUUUUGGUGACAACAAAGUCUGAUAGUGGUGCGAAGGGAAGAAAAGAAUAUGUCAUUUUGGGGUGUGAGAAGCAUGGUGCGUAUAUUCCCUACAGAGAACCGGAUCUUGUUGAAGGAACGUCAACACAAAAGACAGGUUGUCCUUUUAGGCUAGGAAAUCGUGAGACGUGUGCUAGAUCAUGGAUCAACCGAAACCGAUCCUGAUUUCAACUCACAUGCUUGGCUAUCAGCCCUGCAAGAGUGGGGAAUAGCCACUCCGCUGGGCUCUCUGACAGCGAACGUUGAGAGGGUGGAGAAUGUUGUUGCUGUUAUCAAAUCUUGCACUCCCAAUGGGUUUGGAGAUGCGAAAGUUACCCUCAAGGACCCCACGGGUGCUGUUGAUGCUAGCAUCCACCGCAAGGCAUUUACUCACAGUGAAUUUGCGAAUGACAUAACUGUUGGAUCUGUUCUCGUUCUCCAAAAGGUUGCUGUGUUUGCACCUAGAGGAACUGUUUGUUAUCUUAAUAUAACAUUGCCCAACCUAGUGAAGGUAUUCCCAAAAGAUUGCGGACCCCAUGACUUCAUCGAUAUCACAGAGGAAUAAUUUUGUUUUCGGUGUUGCUUAUGUUUAAUUUGGUUGUGUAACCGUUUAACUUAUUGUCAUGGAUUACUACAUGCUUUGAAUUAUUUAUAUGUUGUCGUUGUUUCUGUUUUUUUCAUUAUAAGAGUCAUAAUAUUAAG